rnacentral:rRNA from 1 species
GGCGGCAUGCCUAACACAUGCAAGUCGAACGGUAACAGGCCGUUGUGAUCCCUUCGGGGUGAACUUGGCGCUGACGAGUGGCGGACGGGUGAGUAAUGCAUAGGAAUCUGCCCAGUAGCGGGGGACAACCUGGUGAAAACCAGGCUAAUACCGCAUACGCCCUACGGGGGAAAGACUUCGGUCACUACUGGAUGAGCCUAUGUCUGAUUAGCUUGUUGGUGGGGGUAACGGCCUACCAAGGCAACGAUCAGUAGCUGGUCUG